ensembl:lncRNA
UACGUAUCUCAAGUCUUUAGAGAGUGUUCUGAGGAUUUUCAAAGGGAGGAGUUCACUUGCUGCAUCUGAAAUAUUGUGAGUUGCAAUGUUACAUCAAACAUUGUCACAAAAAAAUAAAUAAAUUGCUCCAUUUGCCCAGACACAACUUGCCGAAAGAUUUCAUGAUCUGAAACAUAAAGACAAAAGCUGGAUGAAGCCAAAGUUCUCUUUGUUUUUAUUGCAGCUAUGUAAGAAGAGUUUCAGGCAUGUUGCAUCAACUGCCAGAGAACUGCCUGAGGGGAUUCUCACCAUCUUAAAUAUAAUCACUGACGUAGCUCCAUCUGCCCUCCGUUUCCUUCCCUGACUAUCAUUCCACACCUUGCAUGGACCGGAAACCUUCUAUGCCGAUCAGUCAGCCUACCGUCCCAAGGGAACAGAAUCGUACGGCCUGUGAACUCAGGCUGAAGAUCAGGUGUCGGUUGUGAGGUUUGUAGAGGAGCUGACCCUUACCUUUCAACCCGUGACAUCUCACCUGCCCUGACCUGCUUCAAACACCUUCCAAGGCCACGUUCACCCAGAUACUAACUCUGACCCUCUGAGAACCUGAAAAGUGAAAGAAUGAGAAUAAAACUAAAGAAAUCUGAUUUCUACUCUUUCUG